UGUGCCUUGAGGCGUGGCUUCCGGAGCUAACGCGUUAAGUCGACCGCCUGGGGAGUACGGCCGCAAGGUUAAAACUCAAAUGAAUUGACGGGGGCCCGCACAAGCGGUGGAGCAUGUGGUUUAAUUCGAUGCAACGCGAAGAACCUUACCUACUCUUGACAUCCAGAGAACUUAGCAGAGAUGCUUUGGUGCCUUCGGGAACUCUGAGACAGGUGCUGCAUGGCUGUCGUCAGCUCGUGUUGUGAAAUGUUGGGUUAAGUCCCGCAACGAGCGCAACCCUUAUCCUUUGUUGCCAGCGGUUAGGCCGGGAACUCAAAGGAGACUGCCAGUGAUAAACUGGAGGAAGGUGGGGAUGACGUCAAGUCAUCAUGGCCCUUACGAGUAGGGCUACACACGUGCUACAAUGGCGUAUACAAAGAGAAGCGACCUCGCGAGAGCAAGCGGACCUCAUAAAGUACGUCGUAGUCCGGAUUGGAGUCUGCAACUCGACUCCAUGAAGUCGGAAUCGCUAGUAAUCGUAGAUCAGAAUGCUACGGUGAAUACGUUCCCGGGCCUUGUACUCCCCGCCCGUCA
rnacentral:rRNA from 1 species